GACUAACGCUGGCUUCGUUCUUAACACAUGCAAGUCGAACGGAAAUGCCUCUUUCGGGGGGUACUCGAGUGGCGAACGUUUUCGUAACACGUGAGUAACCUGCCCUUCACUUUGGGAUAAUUUCAGGAAACUUGGGCUAAUACCGGAUAGGAGCUCCUGCUGCAUGGUGGGGGUUGGAAAGUUUCGGCGGUUGGGGAUGGACUCGCGGCUUAUCAGCUUGUUGGUGGGGUAGUGGCUUACCAAGGCUUUGACGGGUAGCCGGCCUGAGAGGGUGACCGGCCACAUUGGGAAUGAGAUACGGCCCAGACUCCUACGGGAGGCAGCAGUGGGGAAUAUUGCACAAUGGGUGGAAGCCUGAUGCAGCAACGCCGGGUGCGGGAUGACGGCCGUCGGGGUGUAAACCGCUUGCGCUCAUGACGAAGCUUUGGGUGACGGUAGUGGGUAAAGAAGCAACGGCUAACUACGU
rnacentral:rRNA from 1 species